AUGCUACCACGCUGCUGCUGGUUUUGCAGUCCGGGCGGGACCAUCAUCGUCUUCACCACCGCGGCGUCACGCCGUCUCUCCGAUAGCGGUCGGGGGCUCGACAUCGACAUGCCCCCGGAAUGGCCGCGAAGGGCGGCGCGUCCUCGCCGUCGGCCUCGCCUUCUUCACCACCGUUGCGACACCGGCCAUCCGUCCGUGGCGUCGCGCCGUCUCACCGGUAGUGUUCGCGGGCUCGACAUCGACCCGCCCACGGAACGACCGCGCGGGACGGUGCGUCCUCGUCGUCGGCAUCGCCCUCUUCGUCACCACUGCCGCGGCCGUGCCGCCGCACCUGGGGCUGCACGCCCCGUGCUGUGUCUCGCUCCAGGACGGUCGUCCGCGCGCCUCCGCGGUCGUUCCGGUCGCGCCCCCGCGGCCGGCCUUUCCUCGACCAGACCUCCACUCGCGGCCGAGCUGGCCAACUCUGGUUCCUGUGCAUGGCUAGCUAAGCUAGCUAGUAGACACAAUGGAUUGGCCGACGUGCAUGCUAGCUCCGCUAGCAAACCCAAUGGACGGUGGAUGCAUGCCUCGAGCUCGCCCGGCCUUGCUCCGCUCCACCAACUGCGCGUCCGUGCUGCUCUGCUGCUCCGCUUGCUGUUGUCGCCCCAGCCAGCUCCUGCUCACGCUCACACCAGCCGCAGCCGGCUCCACCUCGUGCUGGAUGCUCCGCGUCCGCGCACGCCAGUUCCCUCCUCCGCGCCAGUCCCGCUGCCUCGUCCGGCCAUCCCGAGGACCGUCUCGUCGCUCCGGCCGGCUGCGCCGUCCGAGCCGGCUGCUGCCGUGCCCCGUCGCUGCUCCUCACCUGCGGCCGCCUCGGCGCGUCGGGGCCGGCUCCUGCGUUGCCCCGCUCUGCCGCCUCCCGCAGCACGCCGCCUUCGGCUGCUGCUUUGCACCUCCACGCGCACUGGCCGGCUCCCCCACUCCCUCGCCGCGUGGCUGUCGCGUCGCGUCCGCCUGCUGGCGCACCUCCUGCAGCACGCCGUGUCCGGCCGCCCUCUCCGCCUUCGCGCCUCGUCCUCUGCGGCCGCCUUGGCCUCCGCCCGUGGCCAGGCGGGCUGCACGCCCCAAGCCGCGCCGGGCUGCUUGCUCCGACCCCCGCUGCCCGGCGCGGACACUGCUUGGGGCCUCCUCGCGCGCGCAUGGCUGCCGCCGGCGGCCUGA
rnacentral:rRNA from 1 species